GCCCUUCUGCUCCUUUCUCAUUCUGAUCCCUUUCUGCUCCUUGCAGACCCUUUCUGCUCCCUUUUCUACUUUACCUUUGUGCUCCUUGCAGACCCUUUCUGCUACCUUUUCUACUUUACCUUUGUGCUCCUUGCUGUCCCUUUCUGCUCUUUCUCCUACUUUACCUUUGUGCUCCUUCUGAUUCUUUCUGCUCCUUUACCUUUGUCCUCCUU